CAGCACCUCAAGUGGUCAGGAUGAUUAUUGGGCCUAAAGCAUCCGUAGCCGGCUCAGUAAGUUUUCGGUUAAAUCUGUACGCUUAACGUACAGGCUGCCGGGAAUACUGCAGAGCUAGGGAGUGGGAGAGGUAGACGGUACUCGGUAGGAAGGGGUAAAAUCCUUUGAUCUAUUGAUGACCACCUGUGGCGAAGGCGGUCUACCAGAACACGUCCGACGGUGAGGGAUGAAAGCUGGGGGAGCAAACCGGAUUAGAGACCCGAGUAGUCC
rnacentral:rRNA from 1 species